UACGUAGGGGGCAAGCGUUGUCCGGAAUCAUUGGGCGUAAAGAGCGCGUAGGCGGUCCGGUAAGUCCGCUCUGAAAGUCCGGGGGCUCAACCCCGGGAGGCGAGCGGAUACUGUCGGGCUAGAGUCCGGAAGAGGCGAGUGGAAUUCCUGGAUGUAGCGGUGAAAUGCGCAGAUAUCAGGAGGAACACCAAUGGCGAAGGCAGCUCGCUGGGACGGUACUGACGCGUGGAGAACGCGAAAGCGUGGGGAGCAAACAGG
rnacentral:rRNA from 1 species